rnacentral:rRNA from 1 species
AACGAACGCUGGCGGCAGGCCUAACACAUGCAAGUCGAGCGGCAGCACGGGUACUUGUACCUGGUGGCGAGCGGCGGACGGGUGAGUAAUGCCUAGGAAUCUGCCUGGUAGUGGGGGAUAACGCUCGGAAACGGACGCUAAUACCGCAUACGUCCUACGGGAGAAAGCAGGGGACCUUCGGGCCUUGCGCUAUCAGAUGAGCCUAGGUCGGAUUAGCUAGUUGGUGAGGUAAUGGCUCACCAAGGCGACGAUCCGUAACUGGUCUGAGAGGAUGAUCAGUCACACUGGAACUGAGACACGGUCCAGACUCCUACGGGAGGCAGCAGUGGGAAUAUUGGACAAUGGGCGAAAGCCUGAUCCAGCCAUGCCGCGUGUGUGAAGAAGGUCUUCGGAUUGUAAAGCACUUUAAGUUGGGAGGAAGGGCAGUUACCUAAUACGUAUCUGUUUUGACGUUACGACAGAAUAAGCACCGGCUAACUCUGUGCCAGCAG